rfam:Mycoplasma mycoides subsp. mycoides SC str. PG1, complete genome.
AUCUUAUUAAGAACCAUGGAGAGAUAAAACUUAAUGAAGUGGUAGCAACCUAUUAGAUUAGGUGCUUAAAUAAGGGCUUUAAGCUAACAAUGAGAU